rnacentral:lncRNA from 1 species
AAGCAUCUGUUCCUAAGAGCAGGGACCUCUGAGCCAGACCUCAGGCUGGGCCGGCACUUGGGGCUCAGUCUCACAAACACACUGGUUCCCUGCCCCAUGAGAAGGAACUGGACGGCCCCCUGCGGGUGGCAGGAACCACUUCCACCUCCAAGUGUCUCUAUAUUUAGCCAUCUGUUGUGACCCUGCAGCCCUCUCCUCUCCAUGGCCGGAGGGAAUUGCCCAGCAGCUUUGAUGGCCUGUUUUCCCAGGCCCUGCUCCUGCUUCCCAGCCACCCCUUCCCCCACCCACCAGCAUCCCUGCAGGAGGUGGAGCCCUACUCAGCUGGCAGGUUCUGCAUCCUAAAAUAGCAUCAGCACUUGGCAAGGAGAGGCAGCCACCUGUGUUCAGGGACAGCGCUGCCCGGGUGAGGGGCAAGGCGAGCGGAGGGAGAAGGGCAGGGGAUGGUCUGGAUGGAAACCUUCCAGGUACACUCCUGUGUUCCCUGAUCCCCUCCAAGCAUUAAGUCACUGGUCCCACAUUAUUCCAAUGUGCAUCAGGGUAACCACUGACUGUCAAAAUAAGGCCUGAGCCUCAUCUCCCACUUCUCCCCCACCCUACACACUCAACCUGAACACUAGCCA